UCAAAUAACUUCGAAUGUUGUGAGCUUGUGAGAGUGUUUAAUGAUUUUUUAUUAAAAAUAAUUACAUAAUUGAACAUUAUAUAAAAUGUUAAGAAUACCAUUACAAAUGCUACGUUUUCAAUCAAUAGGUGCUAUAAACUGCUUGCACUCUAAAGGUUUUAAAAAUUUUGGUCAUAAAAAACAACCUAUGCCCGCUGUAACCUUAUUAUGGCAUGGAUACUUAACAUUUAUGUUUAUCGGCCUCAGCAUUAAUUGGAAAAGAGUUGGGAGUUUUAUCUUUGGUGAAGAUGUGGAACAAUCAACUUCAACCGAAUAGUACAUUAUAUUUCGGCUAUUAUAUAAAGUGGUAGAUUAAACAGAUAGCCCCAGAAGCGAUUUCAACAUUAUUGGUCGCAAACAAUUAGUUUUACCUGAUGGUGCUGUAAAUGAGCCACUAAGAAUUACCUACACAAUAAUUAAAUUAUUUUCCAAUAUAUUUCUUUAA